rnacentral:rRNA from 2 species
UGGUGUGUCGAUAGCGCUGGGGAAACACCCGAUCCCAUCCCGAACUCGGCAGUUAAGUCCAGUUGCGGCGAAGGUAGUGCUUGGGAAACUAAGUGCAAGAAUAGCAAGAUGCACCAA